GCCCCAGUAGCUCAACGGAUAGAGCACUCGCGUUCUAAGCGAUUGGUUGGGGGUUCGAAUCCCUCCUGGGGUACAA
rnacentral:tRNA from 1 species